CCUACGGGGGGCUGCAGUGGGGAAUAUUGCACAAUGGGGGAAACCCCUUAUGAGCAACGCCGCGGUAGCGGAGAAAGCCGUUGGGUCGGAAAGCUCUGUCCUUAGGGAAGAAUACUCACCGUACCUUAAGAGGAAGCCGCGGAUAACAUCGUGCCAGCAGCAGGGGGAAGACGGAGGGGGGUAGCGUUAUCCGGAAUUACUGGGCGUAAAGGGUGCGUAGGCGGCCCUGCAAGUCAGAGGUGAAAGGCUACGGCUCAACCGUAGUAAGCCUUUGGAACUGUAGGGCUUGAGUGCAGGAGAGGAGAGUGGAAUUCCCAGUGUAGCGGUGAAAUGCGUAGAUAUUGGGAGGAACACCAGUUGCGAAGGCGGCUCUCUGGACUGUAACUGACGCUGAGGCACGAAAGCGUGGGGAGCGAACAGGAUUAGAUACCCUAGUAGUC
rnacentral:rRNA from 1 species